GAAAUGCGAUAAUUAAUGUGAAUUGCAGAAUUCAGUGAAUCAUCGAGUCUUUGAACGCACAUUGCGCCCCCUGGUAUUCCGGGGGGCAUGCCUGUCCGAGCGUCAUUGCUGCCCUCAAGCACGGCUUGUGUGUUGGGCUUCCGUCCCUGGCAACGGGGACGGGCCCAAAAGGCAGUGGCGGCACCAUGUCUGGUCCUCGAGCGUAUGGGGCUUUGUCACCCGCUCCCGUAGGUCCAGCUGGCAGCUAGCCUCGCAACCAAUCUUUUUAACCAGGUUGACCUCGGAUCAGGUAGGGAUUCCCGCUGAACUUAAGC
rnacentral:misc_RNA from 1 species